GUUAACAUUGAAGGAGACUGUGAGAGGAAUAUAUGGAAAGUCUGUGCUAUUUUUCAGCUUUUCUAUUAAGCCUAAAAGUAGUUCAAAAUACAGUUACAAAAGAAAUGCAGGCCAGACACCUAUCCACCCUCUGCCUGUGCUUGCCGAAAUAAGUCAGGUCCUCAGAGAGCACCUCAAAUUUAUCCCAAGACAACUAUGGCAUUAUUUCCAUGUGAAUACUGGAGAAAGAAAGGCAGAGGAAAAAAGAGUAAAACAUUGUGCACCAAGUGAAAUGUAGCAUUUAGCUAUUAUCUAAAUGAAUUUGAUCACAGCCUUCCUGUCCUUCACCAUCUCCCAGAGUUCACCCAAGUUCAUGGCCACUGAAUUGAUGAUGUCAUCCAACCAUUUCAUCCUUUGCUGCUCUCCUCUCCUUUUG
ensembl:lncRNA